AGGCUGGUCCCAACUUUGCGUGGGCUUCGCGUGGGCCCGGCCUCGCCGCUGCAGUCGCCCGCCUGGCAUGGCCAACUGGGUGUUCUGUAAUCGCUGCUUCCAGCCGCCCCACAGGACGUCGUGCUUCAGCCUCACCAACUGCGGGCACGUGUACUGCGACGCCUGCCUCGGCAAAGGUAAAAAGAAUGAAUGCUUGAUUUGUAAAGCUCCUUGUCGUACAGUUUUACUUUCAAAGCAUGCGCAGUGGCUCACACCUGUAAUCCCAGCACUUUGGGAGGCUGAGGCAGGCGGAUCAUGAGGUCAGGAGAUCGAGACCAUCCUGGCUAACAUGGUGAUUUGCAGAUUAAAAUCAAGUCUUUGGCAUCUGGAAAUUAUAGACAGGAGUUUUAAUAUUGUGGAUAUCAAGCCUGACAAUAUGGAAGAGCUAACAGGUGAUUUCAGCCGCAGAAUUCCAUCUGAACAGCUGUAACACAUCUGUAUCUAGCAGC
rnacentral:sRNA from 1 species